AUUGAACGCUGGCGGCAUGCUUUACACAUGCAAGUCGAACGGUAACAGGUCUUCGGAUGCUGACGAGUGGCGAACGGGUGAGUAAUGCAUCGGAACGUGCCCAGUCGUGGGGGAUAACGCAGCGAAAGCUGUGCUAAUACCGCAUACGAUCUAUGGAUGAAAGCGGGGGACCGUAAGGCCUCGCGCGAUUGGAGCGGCCGAUGUCAGAUUAGCUAGUUGGUGGGGUAAAGGCCCACCAAGGCGACGAUCUGUAGCUGGUCUGAGAGGACGAUCAGCCACACUGGGACUGAGACACGGCCCAGACUCCUACGGGAGGCAGCAGUGGGGAAUUUUGGACAAUGGGCGCAAGCCUGAUCCAGCAAUGCCGCGUGCAGGAAGAAGGCCUCGGUUGUAAGACGACUUCUAGCGAGGAGGAAA
rnacentral:rRNA from 1 species